AAGUCGUAACAAGGUUUCCGUAGGUGAACCUGCGGAAGGAUCAUUAACACGUAUCCAAACGUAAAAAACCCCCCCCGUGAACAUUCAAUCCUGCUCUUGUAACCCGCGUAGUUCGCAAUCUCUGGUAAAUCAUAGCCCGGAAAGUAGUUUUGAUUCAGAGACCUCUGGCUACGUGAGAACAUUGGAACAGUUACAAUCGAGCGGUAGUUUCAUAGGCAUUGUUUCCCCAAGCAGUCAGUGUCUGAAAGUGUCACUGAUUGUGCAAGGAUAGCGCUUCAACGAUUCCUGUAGCCAAAGGGUCCCCAUGCCCCCUUAUAACCCCACAGUUUAAUGUGAAGCUCAAUGUAAUACAUUGGGUAAAAAAACCGAACAACUGUUAACAAUGGAUAUCUUGGUUCUC
rnacentral:misc_RNA from 1 species